rnacentral:rRNA from 1 species
AUGCCACGUGCUGAUGGUCCCUUUAAGGUGUUAGAGAAAAUAAAUGAUAAUGCAUAUAAACUUGAGCUGCCUGCAGAUUUUGGGGUUAGUCCCACUUUUAACAUUGCAGAUUUGAAGCCUUGUUUGGGUGAGGAAGAUGAGUUUCCAUCGAGGGCGACUUCAUUUCAAGAAGGGGAGGAUGAUGAGGACAUCAAUACCAUUGUUACACCCACAGCCCCUACUGCUACAUAUACGGGACCAAUUACUAGAGCUCGCGCACGCCAAUUAAAUUAUCAGGUACUUCCGUUUCUUGGUAAUGAUUCUAAUGUUCAUGAGAAUAUGAUGCUGCCUAAAUUGGAUACAUUUGUUUUGCUUACAAAUGAAGGGCCUAGCUUGGAGAAGGAUGAACAUUGGAGCAAGAACAAGCAUGGAGAUGAUGCCAUGCGCAAGGGGAACAAGAACGGAGUUACAAGUGAUGAUUUCAGGACUUUGAAGCCACCAUAA